rnacentral:rRNA from 1 species
CACGGGGGGAGCAAGCGUUGUUCGGAAUCACUGGGCGUAAAGGGCGCGUAGGCGGCCUGGCAAGUGGAAGGUGAAAUCCCUCGGCUUAACCGAGGAACUGCCCUCCAAACUGCUUGGCUUGAGUCCGGGAGAGGUGAGUGGAAUUCCCAGUGUAGCGGUGAAAUGCGUAGAUAUUGGGAGGAACACCAGUGGCGAAGGCGGCUCACUGGACCGGAACUGACGCUGAUGCGCGAAAGCGUGGGGAGCAAACGGG